CCAGCGCGGCGGGUCUGGGCGGAGGGGUCGGCGCUCUACGUGGCGUUCUCCAGGGAGAGGGGCGAGGCUGUUGGUCCGUGGCACGGUGUUGCACGGAGGAGCCGCCGAGCAGCAGCUGCUGGCCCCGAUACCCGCGAGUCCGCCCCGAUAGCAGCAUGUUUCUGGGCACGCCGCCAUCCGCCCUCCAGUCCCACGGCGGGACCAUCACCAGCUGCGGCUCCCCUUCCUUUCUCAAGGCUGAAGGUUGUUCACUGUGUUGGUCACCUGUUAGGUGACCUCCAGCUGGACAGCGAGGUGUUUCAGAAGGAGGGCAGUUUGCAGGAGAGCUCGGAUGCCGAGCACGCCGGCUCCUACUCCUGAGUUAUUCCUCUCCUUAUCUCCAACACAGGAACAACGUCCUGCUCCUUCACACUUAAACGAGGGCUGAUUUUGGCAGCUGUAGCUAAACCCCGCAGCAGAACUGAACACCCACCUCCACCUCUGCUCCGAGCCACGACAAAGGAGGAAGGGGAGACUCAGGCUCCCCUGGGUGUCUCAGGAAAACUCCUCUUCCCACGUUCCCACCCUUCCUACAGGUGCUCAUGAUGAGCUCUGGAGAGCUCAUCCACUCGCCAGUCCUUCCCGCUGUCCUUCCAGGAGAAGUUAUGCACCUGCAUGCGAUGAGAGUCUGUGUGGAAAGAAACCCUUCAGCACUGCAUAGCCCCAUCCCUGUGUGCCUUCCACAUGCAAAGUCUUCUGUUCCUCUGGGAUUGUUUUUCUUUGUCUGUUGGUUCCACAGUGGGAAUAUUCCUACUCCUGUGUGCUUUUACAGUGGUAAUGAACUGUUAUUCUGUACGGUCCCUGAUGUAUCAAGUUACACAUGGAGAAGAUCCACGUGGUCUCAGCAAAGUUACCAUUUCUGAGGACAAGGAAGAUCUGGAAAAGUACACUCCUCAGCCAGGCCCUCAUGGCUGGUUGGAGCAUCAAAAGAAACAGACCUGCCUGCAGCAUUAUUACCCAGGGAAGAUCAUCACGUCCACAGCUGCACCUUCUUCUCCCCCUGCAAGGCAUCUGGGAGCCUCGAGGCAGCCAUGGGCUGUUCAGGAGGAGUUGCAGAGGAAACAACCAGCAAAGAAAGCUCUUCAUACAGAAGGAAGCAAGAAAAGACUAUGCACAGCAUGCUGUGAAAUGCCUGCAAGACACACACUGGGAAUACAAACAAUUGUUCCUUAUGUUUUCCAGCAACAAGGAUCUCAGGGAUUAUUUGUAACAACAGCAGCUUUAAAAAACGAAGACCAAACAGAACCAGGGAAAAGUACAUUUUAAGACUACUAGCCUUUUUAAGAGGAGGUUUUGUUUUGUUUUGUUUCUGUUGGGUUUUUUUUCCUUUUUAUCAGGCCUUAAGUGCAGGUUAUAUAUCUGCUCUCCUCAUGACUUCUCCUAUAGGAGUUAAUUACGUCGAGUGCAUUUAUGUAUCAAUUUUUGAUGCACAUGGAAGCAACAAGCAAAAUGAUGAAAGUGGGCUAUAAUGGUGACAGGCACAUGUACAAACAUGUUAAUUCUGUGUUAUGAGUUGUUUCAUCACAGAGGGAUUCCACCAAGAGUCUUAGUAGCAGCUAUGCGGUGUUUGUCAUAUGUAGCUUCUCCUGUAUUAGGCAAUCCUGAUCUUUGGCUUGUCCAUGGUGGUGCUUAUGGCUCUGGGAGCUCCACAGAUAUUGACUCCCAGCAGCCACACGUGUGUGGCCCCACUGCAGGUACUGCCCAAACACUGGGACGUGGAGCACUGUAAAGUCUGAACACUUGGCUCUCACAUUCAGCCACGCCUAGGAAGAAGCUCUGAAGCUCCCUUAGCAGCAUAAAGCAUCCAAAAGCAUUUGACAUGGGGAAAUCCCCAGCUGAAAUGAGGUGCUGUAAAGCUGGGGGAGUCUGCCCUAAGUUUUCCUCUGCCAUGAAAUAGUUUAUGUCUUUUCACCCAGAAGAAAUUACUUCCUCUGGCAACACUGUCUGUGCUGCCCUGACCCUGAACAGCCUGUGCAGCCCCAGAAACAUUCUGGGACAGGGGUAUUUGAGGGCACCUUCCUGAAACACUGAGCACCUCCAAGCCCAGGUACCUAGGAAUGCAGGUGGGCCUUGGGGCAUGAUGUUACUGGUGCAGACCCAGAUCCCUGACAUCGUGGUGACUUAAUAAAGUUCUGGUUCUGCUGCUGAACUCAAAGUGCCACAUUAAGACAGCAGCACCAGCUCAAGGCUCUUCCCUUCCCUCUUCCACUUGUUCCCUCAUGUAGGUAACAGUGUCUUUUCUUCCUUCCAGGAGCUUCAUAUCCUUAGUGGAGAGGGAAUAUAGCAAGAAUGAAGCUUCAUAAAUUUUCUUUGCACAAAUAAAUCAGAAGCACCUGACAAUAUGGCAGAAGGGAAAGGGAAAAGCACUGAUUUUUUAGGAAUCAAAUUGGGUGCCAACCCACAAAGGAGAAAAAUCCCACUGCCUCCCAGGGCACAGCAGGCAGUGUUAGCAACUGCAGGGACAUACUCACGGGCUUUAUUCUCCAGGGAACCUUGUUUGUGAACAUUUAGUUGCAUUUAUAGGAGUGCAGGGUAUUUCAUAUAGUAGUCUAUUCCUUUUGGGAUGUAGAUAAGUGCUGGAUCCUUAUCCUUAUUCUAAAACCAGCAUUGAUAAAUGAUAACUACAGAAUUAUCUGAAUGUCCUCUUCGCUUCCAGGGCUGGGGUUAAGGGCAGCUCAGAUGCACAGUAAUGGCUGCAAAUGACAAUAAAUGGGUGAUGCAAAGCUCUGCAUUUCCAUUCAGGUUGAACACCAGGCAUGUGUGUAACGCACACCCGACCUAUAGUGGAAGAGGUUUCUGAGAAAGACACAUUUUUACCACUUCUGGACACAAAGGAACAACAAACUAUCAAUAUACCAAUUUUUCUCAGUGAGCAGUUACAAAAAAGUGGAUACCAUUCCCAGCCUGGCAGUGCACUUGUUUCACCAUAUUUCAUGGUGCAUUUGCAACAACGUGUCUGUAUCUACCUGCUGCAAUAGGAUGGCUAAAUUGCAAGAAAAAGCAACUACUUAUGAAAUAGGGACAUUCUGGAGGGAUCAUUUUGGCGUGCACCACUGAAGAAUUUUUUUUUUUUUCCUGAGAUUUUUGUAUCUUGCAUCUUUUUUCAUCAAGUCUUCUCCAGAGAAAAAGGAUCAUUUUCAGUUUUUGGGCAUACCAAAUCACCACUACAACUGGAUAGGAUCAACAGGAUUUUUCCCUGUAUUACCUUAUUUCACAGUCUAUGUUUGUGUUUAAUGUAACAUUUGUGUGCUUAUCAUAAUUUCAUUACAUUUAAUGCAGUACCUGGGCAGCACUCUUCAGUGUAGUCUGGGAGGAAAACAAUGCUUUAGCCCAAAGAGAAGUUAAAAAGAUGGGAGGACAUAAUGAGAGAUAUUUAUGGCUUUUACAGGCUGUUUCAACAGCAGAACUCACAGGAGAUUUUAGCAAUAGGGAUACAAAGCUUUAAGCCUGGAAGGAAGAAGGAGGCAUGUUUAGCCACUCCUCAAGGCUAGGAUGCUAUUUUCUAGAAAUCAGAGUUUUGCACUGUGGCUGAGAGUACCAAGAUUUAUUUUGCUUUGUCUUUGGAUCGUGGGAGUAAAAUGCUGGUCUCCUUGAAAUAUGUGGGAUGUUAGUGACUAGGAUAAUAAAGGCAAGAUUUCACCAUAGACAUUUUGAAUUCUCUUCAUCCCAGCCUCUCCCAGCAGGCUGGCUGGGAUUAUUCCCAGCCUGUUUUGUACCAGACAGGUGCAUCAGGCCAGAUGAGCUCAUUGAGACACAGCCUCCUCCCGCUACUUACUGUUAACCACUGUUGCCUUCUCCUGGGCUACAGAAAAUUGCUAUGAGUGAGGAGAGAAUCUCCUGGAAGAUGGAUCCCCAAGGGAGAGCUGCAGGGAACAACGUUGCCUGCUGUGGAAAGUUUUCCAAGCGAGCUGCGGUUACCCACCAUCCAGAUGGUGAAUACUCAGUGUUUGCUUUAGAGCAGCAUUUCCAGGUCCAACCAUGCAACUCCCCAUCUCUCCCUUUCACAAAGGGAAAAGGGAGUGCUGAGGUCUCACGGCUCCCGCUCUUCUGAACUAGUUCCCUCUUUGCCUGGACUUGAUCAGCAUUACUCUCCCAAGAGCCUUGGAAACUGGGAAAGGAGAGCUAGGCAGGUUCACAAAACCUUUUGUUUUGCUGGACUGGUUGCAGAGACUCCCCACACUUACAAGGAAAAGUUUUUGCUCCAAUUCCUGAUGCUGCUUUUCUCUCUCGGUCCUCUCUGGAUGAACCUUUGCCAAGACUUUGGUGACACAUACAUUUUGUAGUUGGUGGAGUUGUACCUGUGCACAUAGGAGAAUGUGUCACCCUGCAGACACUAUCAAAUUCCAGAGCUUGUAUCUUCCUUCCUAAGGAAACGGUGUCUGGGGCAGGGCAGUUUGCUCAGUUAGGAAUAAUCCCCAGGAGGGAUUCAGCACUGGCUGAGGAGGGUUUGCUGGAGGGAGGGCCGUAGCUCCCCUCUUCCCCAUGUAAGUGUCAGAUGCAGCAUCCACAUCCCUGAGCUGUUUUAUUCUGGAAGGACUCUUUGACUUCACCCUCUGCUUCAGCCACGGUCACAGCAUCCAGGUCUGCUAGUUCUGCUCCAUGCCUCUCGUCCCAUCUCCAAUCACUUGAUGCUGGGAAAUUGCUGGGAGUACUUGUGUCCCAAACAUCUCCUGGGAAUUCAGCAGUCUCCUUCCCACGCAGACACCAGCUGGGAGCAAUCCAUUCCUGCUCAGCUCUGCACCCAGUCUGUACACAAGCAAUUUUAAAUCCAGGGUGUGGACUAGCUGAAAAUGACUAAGAAAAUGAAAGAUGACUAAGAAAAACAAGCUUGUGUGCUGUGGAAUUAUCUCCAGCCUGAAACAGCUGAAGAGCUCUGCAAUUCUCCUGCGAAGCCCUGAGAGGUGCACAGAUCUGAUAACAUCGAGGCAUCCCAAGAGCCGGAGUCCCUGUCUCCAGCUCAUCUACCAGCAGAUGUGCCAAAACACCUCCUCUGGCUGCUGGUCUUGCAGGAGUCUCUAUCAGUGGAAAAACCUGCUCUGCCCACUGCUCUUCACUCCUGUGGAGCACGAGGCUGUGCAAAGGAGCAAGCACGGCUGUCAUCUGCUGCAGCCCUGUGUCCAUGUCCUGUCCAUUUGUGACUCCAUGGAAAGCACACCAGGGCUGUGGAAGUUGGGGGCAGGGACACUUAUACAGGCAAACUUGUCUGGGUAAACUUCAUUCCUAUUGCUUGGCUGGUUUCUGACCCUCUGCCUCUACAGUCCCAUCAUUCUCUGCCUUCUUCUGUCUCUUCUUUUGUGUUUUUUCUUUAAUUUUGCCCUAAUACUUCACGUUAUUCUGGUUGCUAUGCAGGGUUUGCAGGCUCAGCCACCUGUAACAACCCCUCUCCAUGGGUGUGAGCAGCUUGGCUGCAGUGAGGACACUUUGCUGAUUAAUUUGCUUUUUUUUUGUAUAGUUAUUUUAGAUGCUUGGAAAUAAAAUAAAGUUGUUACUGAUA